CAAGACUUUAUUAAACACCCAGAAUGCGUAUCACUACAGAAGGUCACAUCUAUUUGCUGCCUUGGAUGUAAGAAGUCAGAAGCGCCUGAGUAAUUUUCACAGAAUCAAAUGAUGAGGAAAUAGAAGUUACAAAGACUAUGUAAAUUGCCCCAAGUC